UUCUAUACUCUAUUAUAUCUAAUGUUUACCCAACAAUUUUUAGUUUUUGAUAAAAAAUGGUUUCCAUUAAUGAUUUUUGUUAAAUAGGCAAAAAUCAAAAAUAAAAAUGAUACCAAAGAGAGCCUGAUAAACUUUGGAUGAACAUACAGA